GAUGAACGCUGGCGGCGUGCUUAAUACAUGCAAGUCGAGCGAACGGACGAGAAGCUUGCUUCCCUCAUGUUAGCGGCGGACGGGUGAGUCACACGUAGAUACCCUACCUAUAAGACUGGGAUAACUUCAGGCAACCGGAUCUAAUACCGGAUCAUAUUUUGAAACGCAUGGUUCCAAAGUGAACGACGUUCUUGCUGUCACUUAUACCUGGAUCCGCGCUGCAUUAGCUAGUUGGUAAGGUCACGGCUUACCAAGGCAACGAUGCAUAGCCGACCUGAGAGGGCGACCAGCCACACUGGGACUGAGACACGGACCAUACUCCUACGGGAGGCCGGAGUUGGGAAUUUUACACAAUGGGCGGAAACCUUACCGAGCCAUGCCGAGUGCGUGAAGAAGGACUUCGGGUGGUAAAACUCUUUUAUUAGGGAAGAACAUAUGUGUAAUGAACCGUGCAGAUCUUGACGGUACCUAAUCAGAAAGCAACGGCUAACUACGUG
rnacentral:rRNA from 1 species